rnacentral:rRNA from 1 species
UACGUAGGGGGCUAGCGUUGUCCGGAAUCAUUGGGCGUAAAGCGCGUGUAGGCGGCCCGGUAAGUCCGCUGUGAAAGUCCAGGGCUCAACCCUGGAAUGCCGGUGGAUACUGUCGGGCUCGAGUCCGGAAGAGGCGAGUGGAAUUCCUGGUGUAGCGGUGAAAUGCGCAGAUAUCAGGAGGAACACCGAUGGCGAAGGCAGCUCGCUGGGACGUUACUGACGCUGAGACGCGAAAGCGUGGGGAGCAAACAGG